GCGUGUGUUGCUCAGUCGUGUCUGACUCUUUGCGACCCCAUGAACUGUAACCUGCCAGGCUUCUUUGUCAUGGAAUUCUCCAGGCAAGAAUACUGGAGUGGAUUGCCAUUCCCUUCUCCAGAGAAACUCAGGAUCUAUUUUGAAGCCAAGAACAUAUCCUCCACUCUACAGGAAAAAAUAAUGAAAAAACAGAAAACAAGCCUGAGGAAUCAUAUUUACAACAUAUGAUAAACUACAGUUCUAAUUGUUCUUAUUUCAGAACACAUUAUGUUGGUCAUAGCAUAAAGAAAGCUGAGCGCUGAAGAAUUAAUGCUUUUGAACUGUGGUGCUGGAGAAUACUCUUGAGAGUCCCUUGGACUGCAAGGAGAUCCAACCGGUUAAUCCUAAAGGAAAUCAGUCCUGAAUAUUCAUUGGAAGGACUGAUGCUGAAGCUGAAACACCAAUACUUUAGCCACCUGAUGCGAAGAACUGACUCAAUGGAAAAGACCCUGAUGCUGGGAAAGACUGAAGGCGGGAGGAGAAGGGGACGACAGAGGAUGAGAUGGUUGGAAGGCAUCACCAACUCGAUGGACAUAAGUUUGAGUAAGCUCCGGGAGUUGGUGAUGGACAGGGAAGCCUGGCAUGCUGUGGUCCAAGGGGUCACAAAGAGUCGGACACGACUGAGCAACUGAACUGAUAGGCGUGGAGUCAGGGCAACGGCUGAGGCACAGGGCUGAAGUUAGAAAAUGAUUGCCCCAGUGACAGACUGGCAGUAUCAGAUUGCAAGUUGUUCAGGCCAGGCUGAAUUCAUUCCAGAGUCCAUAUUUGGCAACUGUAUUCUUAAAAAAUGAAAAGUACACUACCUGAAGAACAGAAAGCACAGGGUUGUUUACUACUCAGUAAUUAAUUUUUCAGCAUAAAAGAGGCUGAGCAAGCUAUAGCAUAUGUAAAAGCAAUACAAAACAGCAAUGAACAAUACUAACAUCAAUUAUAUCAAAUACCUAUGUAGACUCUCACAUUUUCCUAGCUAUGAUAUAAAUUCUUAUAUUUCUUUAGAUGACCAGAAAUAAUUUUCUUCCUAUCAGAUCCUGUAAUUUUUUUGUUUAAGGUAUUGCUUUUCUCCACCAGACUGAAAGCUCCUUAAAAGGCAGAAACUGCGUACUGGUUCAUGAUUUUCAUUACUGAGCACAGGGUAGGUGCUCACUAUUUGGCAAAUCAAUGAUCAGAUAUUUUAAAGUAAUUCAGAUAUCAAACAAUUUAGCAAAAUAUAGGCUUGGGAAUAUUUUGCAAAUAAUUAUCUUUCUCACAAGUCAAGAAAUCUUUUUUAAAAAUAAAAUUUUCCAGGUAUCACAUACAUUGCGUCUAAUACUCAAACAUUUAUUAAUGAAACUGUUUAGCCUUAAGACUACUUAUAUUCUACAAUAAGGGUGAUCAUCAUAGGAUAACCUCACAGGAUUUUUAUUAACUAUUUUUAUGUUUCAUGUAAUUUGCACUAGGAUCUGAUGAGCAGUUUUUUAAAUACAUAAAAUGAAAUUCUUCAGCUUA